GAAAAGGGCGCAUGGUGGAUGCCUUGGCUCCCGGAGGCGAUGAAGGACGUGAUAAGCUGCGAUAAGCCACGGUAAGGUGCAAAUAACCUUUGACCCGUGGAUUUCCGAAUGGGUCAACCCGUACGGUCGAAGACCGUACAUCCCGCAUCUGCGGGAGGCGAACGCGAGGAACUGAAACAUCUUAUUACUCGCAGGAAAAGAAAAUAACAAAUGAUUCCGUCAGUAGCGGCGAGCGAACGCGGAAGAGCCUAAACCGACAGCGUCCAGGCGCCGUCGGGGUUGCAGGACCACGACAUAAGAGAUGUAGUGAAAGUACAAGAAGAAGGGACCGGACUGUCCCGCCGUAGAGCGUGAAAGCCGCGUAUUCGUAGACUUUCCUCCUUUUGUGGUAUCCUAAGUAGGUCGGGACACGUUAAUCCCGUCUGAAUCUGCCGGUUCCGUCCGGUAAGGCUAAAUACUCCCGGGAGACCGAUAGCGAACCAGUACCGUGAGGGAAAGGUGAAAAGCACUUCGAAUAGAAGAGUGAAAUAGUUCCUGAACCCAUGCGCCUUCAAUCGGUCGGAGCAACUUAGAGUUGUGACGGCGUGCCUUUUGCAUAAUGAACCUGCGAGUCGCUUGUUCCGGCUUAGGUUAAGCUUCUAGAGAAGCGUAUCCAUAGCGAAAGCGAGUCCCAAAUGGGCGUUAAGUUGUCGGAACGAGCGGACGCGAAACCAAGUGAUCUACCCUUUGCCAGGUUGAAGACCGGGUAACACCGGUUGGAGGACCGCACCGAUAAGCGUUGAAAAGCUUCCGGAUGAGCAGAGGGUAGGGGUGAAAGGCCAAUCAAACUUGGAGAUAGCUCGUACUCCCCGAAAUGCAUUUAGGUGCAGCCGUAAUUUCCUUACCUUCGCGAGGUAGAGCUACCGGUAAGACACGAGGGCUUCAUCGCCUGUCAAGUCUUGACGAACUCCGAAUGCGCGUCGGUUCAUAUUACGAGUGAGGGCACGGGUGCUAAGGUCCGUGUCCGAGAGGAGAAGAAUCCAGACCGUCGUCUAAGGCCCCCCAAUGGAUGUUAAGUUGGAUUAACGGGGUGGGAUUCCCGUGACAGCCGGGACGUUGGCUUGGAAGCAGCCAUUCGUUCAAAGAGUGCGUAACAGCUCACCGGUCGAGGGAUCCUGCACGGAUAAUACUCGGGCAUAAACAUUCUGCCGAAGACACGGGACCGUUCAAUCAUAUUGUUCGGUCGGUAGGGGAGCAUUCCGCGUUGCGUCGAAGGUUUUUCGUAAGGAAUUCUGGAGCGCGCGGAAACGCAAAUGCAGGUAUAAGUAACGAUAAAGGAGGUGAGAAACCUCCUCGCCGAAAGACUAAGGUUUCCUGAUCAACGCUAAUCGGAUCAGGGUAAGUCGGGUCCUAAGGCUUCGCCGUUAGGCAAUGCCGAUGGUCGAACCGGUUAAUAUUCCGGUACUUGCGCGAAUAAGUGAUGCGGAGACGGAGUGGUGAAAGUACGGCGGCAUGACGGAAUAUUAUGUCGUUUAAGGGUGUAGGUGCUGAGGAGCGUUCGGAAAGUCCGCGUUCUGAGCCGAACCUGAAAGUAUGAUGCGCAUUCAGCAAAUCAAUCGUAUGUAAUCUUGCUUCCAAGAAAAUCCGCUAAGCGUAAUAAAGUUCGCGGAACCCGUACUGUAAACGGACACACGUGGUCGGGUUGAGUAUACUAAGGCGCUCGGGUGACUCACGGUUAAGGAACUAGGCAAAUUUUCCCCGUAACUUCGGGAUAAGGGGUCCCUUUUUAAGGAAGGGCGCAGUGAAAAGGUCCGGACAACUGUUUACCAAAAACACAGGGCUGUGCUAAAUCGCAAGAUGCCGUAUACAGCCUGACACCUGCCCGGUGCCGGAAGGUUAAGAGGAGAGCUUACCGUCUUUAUGGUGGGAAGGUUUGAAUUGAAGCCCCGGUAAACGGCGGCCGUAACUAUAACGGUCCUAAGGUAGCGAAAUUCCUUGUCGGGUAAGUUCCGACCUGCACGAAUGGUGUAAUGAUCUGGACACUGUCUCAACCGUGAGCCCGGUGAAAUUGUAGUACCGGUGAAGAUGCCGGUUCCCCGCGAUGGGACGAAAAGACCCCGUGAACCUUUACUGUAAUUUAACAUUGAAUUUGGACACGUGAUGUGUAGGAUAGGCCGGAGACGUUGAAUGUUGUGCGCUAGUGCAACUGGAGUCACCCUUGAAAUACGGCCCUUUUCUUGUUCGGGUUCUAACGUGCUUUAUGCAUGGACAUUGUUUGGUGGGCAGUUUGACUGGGGUGGUCGCCUCCAAAAGCGUAACGGAGGCUUCUUAAGGUACCCUCAAGACGUUUGGUAAUCGUCUUUCUAGAGUGUAAUGGCAUAAGGGUGCUUGACUGCGAGACCGACGGGUCGACCAGGUGGGAAACCAGAGCAUAGUGAUCCGGUGUUUCCGUACGGAAGGGACAUCGCUCAAAGGAUAAAAGGUACUCCGGGGAUAACAGGCUGAUCCCUCCCGAGAGCUCACAUCGACGGAGGGGUUUGGCACCUCGAUGUCGGCUCGUCACAUCCUGGGGCUGUAGCAGGUCCCAAGGGUCGGGCUGUUCGCCCGUUAAAGUGGCACGCGAGCUGGGUUCAGAACGUCGUGAGACAGUUCGGUCUCUAUCUAUCGUGGGCGUAGGAAAUUUGCGCGGUUCCGUCACUAGUACGAGAGGACCGUGAUGGGCUAGCCUCCGGUUUACCGGUUGUGCCGCCAGGUGCAUUGCCGGGUAUCUGCGCUGGUUAUUAGGAUAAGCGCUGAAAGCAUCUAAGCGCGAAGCCUUCCGCAAGAUUAGAUUUCCGUAUGAAGGGUCGUUGUAGAUUACGACGUAGAUAGGCCGCAGGUGUAGGUGUAGUGAUGCAUGUAGCCGAGCGGUACUAAUAGCCCGUAUAU
rnacentral:rRNA from 1 species